rnacentral:tRNA from 1 species
CGGGAUGUAGCGCAGCCUGGUAGCGCACCUGCUUCGGGAGCAGGGGGUCGGACGUUCGAAUCGUCUCAUCCCGA